UGGAGCAGAAUUUCGGGAUAGUGAUGGCAUA
rnacentral:piRNA from 1 species